CAAUAUAAAUAUAAACAGACUAUGAAAGGGAAAUAUUAAAAUAAAUUAGUGAAACUCAUUGCGCUGCAUGGCUUGGCCCACUUGCCUACUUGGCAUAUAGCAUAUGGUGUUAAAUAUCCCCCAUACCAUAAACUUCCUUUCUCUGAGCUUUCUUUGUGCUUAGAUCAGCCAAAGAUGAAGAUGCAGCAGUAUAAACAACCCUAGAUUAGGAUUUGUCAGUCUCUGAUGGCCAGCCUUAAAAGAAAAGCUAGCUUAAAAUUAGCUGUGUAUUUAUUGUCCCAUAGUUGCAAUUGGCAAGGAAUAUGAUAGGAGACUAGCUGGAGGUGACAAAUCAGUCAUCAGUUAAGGAGGUCCAUUUAAAAGUACUUCCAGUGUAAUCUCCUAAUUUCUUCUUUGCCACAAUUAAUAUUCUGCAAAUGAGUCUGGUUGAAUGGCCUUAAGACAAAAAUAAAAAAUAAAAAUAUGAAUAACAAAGACUUAACUUUAGAGACUGGUAAACAAGGGCACAACAUCAUAUUUUAGAUAAUUGAUUCAGGGUGCUACAGAAUGGAUGUAUUUUUGCCCCAGUGGAGCCAAAGCCAGUUCCCAAGAAAGCUGUGUUUUCCAUCUGCCCUUAUUUGCCUCUGCCCUCUGGGAUGGAUCUAUAAAUGAAGUUUCCAAGCUCUCAGAAACUGAGAGCAUCUCCAGUCUAUCAAUUAAACCCAUUAUUCUUAGCUCUCCCACACACCAUAAACCUCCUUUUUCUGAACUGAAAGAGCUCUCUUUGUGCUUAGAUCAGCCAAAGAUCAAGAUGCAGCAGUAUAAACAAGAAACAUUUUCUUACAGCAUCAGUUAUAUGGCUUUUCCUAUCUUCAGGGUCAGUACUGAGUGCAAUUAUGCUGCGUGUGGAAGCUGAGCUUUGUUCAAAGCAACAGCCAUUCAUUCAGUAUACAUCUAUUGAACUCUUACUAAGCUUUGUGUUAAACCCUGGGAGGUUCGAGUUUGGGAGCUUUGUGGGUAAGGCACUGAUGAAGGCAUGAUCUUGCACUCAAGAAUAUCUCACAUUAUCAGUCACAGCAUGGAAGUCUCCCAGAGUGUGCUAGAGCAGAGGCAUGGAACAUACUAAAAGCAAUCUGACUGACCGACUGCAAUGGACACUUGAUUUCUGUAGGAGAGGUAGUGGAUAAGGGCUAGGACUUCCCGAGGCUAUGGUUUCUAGGGCCCCGAUAAAAACAAAACUUCAAUUUAGAGUCUUGGAAACUUGUGACUUGCUCUCCCUAUGGCAUCCUCCUCUUGCCUUACAUGUGACAGCAUUUAUGCACAGACUGGCACAAUGCCUGUGCUUGCUUCCACCCACUCAGUCAUUUGAGGAAUCAGAGGGCACAUGGAUUAGGAUUUAAAUAAACACAAGCUAUUCAGGCUGCCUUUUCUCUUUCUAUCAAGGUUAAAUCUGAGAAGUAAAGGAAGGGCAAUAUAAGACACAAGGUCUUUUUCUCUUUGAAUUUCCUUACUGUGAAUACAGUUACUGUCUGUGCAUUUUGAGGUUGACAACUUGAUAUAUAUGAAGUAAUAAUCACUCAUAUCUAAAAAUCAAUACUUGACCUUUUUUUACUUUCAUUAAGCAGGUAAGGAAUUUAAACUAAUAUUUAUAAAUUGGGAAAAAUUUUUCUCGUUUACUCAUUCACUUGCUUUAAAACAAGCAGCUGUAUUCUUAUUCUUGUCUCAAAAACGUUAAUGUUUAUGUGCUCCUUCUGGCACUUCUGGAUUGUUCCACUUUAUUCCAAAGAAAAAUAGGAUAAAAUAUUAAAUAAUUUGUGUACUGUGAAACAAAGGAAAUCCAACCUUAACAUGUAAAAAAACUUUUAACAAACACGAAUUUAACAGGUUUUCUGUGCCAAAAUUUGCUAGAUUUUUCUAAAAUAGAAGUUAGUUAAACAGAUGCAGCUCAACUAAACGUAGAAAGGGUUAGAAGGGAGAUAGGAAGCAUGGGGAAAUGUGAGACUAACUUUUGAAAGAAAAGAAUCAGAAAGAAAUUUAUAUAGUUCCAAAAGAAACAAAAGAUCACAUAAAAGAAGAUUUAGACACACAAAUGUGCAUCUAGAGAAAGAGGCCUGUCAUUCUACGGUAUUCAGAGUUGAAAAUGUUUAAUAGCCUUGGACACUUUUGCUUACCAACUGGGAAAAUCUACCUCUGAGUUUCAAAGGAUCUGGCUACAUCCAUACUGUUUAUUGUGUUAAACUUUCAAAGAUCUUUCAAAGAUCAAAAGGCAAACACACAAAGCAGAUUCUGACAGUUGCAAUAUUGAACAACCAAACAAAACAACAGAGUUUGAAGUUUAUAGAUACUUUUAAUUCUAAUAGCUGAUGAAUUGAAAUGCAGAACAGAGCAAAUAUUAUAAAGGAAGGAAAAUGUAUCCUGUUCACAUUAGCAAAAAUGUGAAUAUAAAAUGAGAAUUUUCCUAUAUGCUGGUGACAUUACAACCUAGAAAUAAUCUUACUAAACAAAUAGUCUAGCUGAUUAUGGCUAGAGAGAAUGCUUACAUAUCAAUAUUUUUAAAAACAAAUUUUUCAUUUUUGGUUAAUGUUUCCAAUUUAUUCACAAAUAAUGUAAAAAUUACAUAGACCAAGGACUUCAGGAUAUAAUUGAAAACUAAUUUAUAUAGAAGGACACAAGUAAAUUACAUUUCUCAAAGUUAAGUGGUCUAUGAAGUUUACUGAAGUUGUGUGCAUGUUGCUGUUUGUUGGGAGCCGCGGCCGAGCCCGGUCGCCUUACUUGGUGGACAUGAGGCCUGUAAGAAAGAGCAAAGCCUGAGCUAGAUUACCCCUCCCAUCGAGUGAGCCAAGUUGGCGCCUGCUUCCUGCCCCCUGAUUGCCCUGGCGACUUAAACAACCCGCUCUGUAAGAUAGUCUGCCCAGCAACAACUGACGUUAGCCAAUCAGCCCGCAUCGCGCGCUUUGAACUGAUUGGCCACUGUUACCCUAUAAAAGUGAGUGCCUCUCCCGCCACGAGAGAGAAGCACAGAGAGAGAUAGAGAAAGUCCACCGGUGAGAAAGGACUGGUGGCAGAGCAGAGGCCUCGCGGGGCCCACGUGGAGACAAAUAAAGACAAGGUUGCACACCGUCAGAAUCUGUCGUGUGUUUUUCCUGCCGGCCGGGAGCGACACCAACAUCUGGUGGCCCGUACGGGGGUCUGAUCACUCCCCUUGGUGGUGUGCAACGCUCCAGCGUGGUGCUGCCGGACAGGGACCGGGACGAGAACCACUGUGGGUCCCAGAGAGGUUGACGCGACAAGUCCCUCGACUGAAGAUCAGGCCUGUUCCACCAGAGGCCAACCGCAGACCCAACAACAAGAUGAGCCCUAAAAGAACUGCAGGACAAUCCCUUUUUGGGGGCCUGGAACGGCUUGCUCCCCUAUGUGUUACCCUUGUUAGGCCCUCUAUGCUCCUUGUUCUUGCUCCUGCUUAUAGGACCAUUCUUGCUCCGAUGGGUUACAUCAUUUAUUAAUGGGCGCCUUGCGGCGGCCCGGCGUCAAGUACGCCUGGUUGCCCAUGCGGCCCUGGCAGCAGCCCGUGAUGGGCACAAUGACCUCCAGGCUUACGCAUGGCUCGCUCGACUGGCCUACGACCGGGUCUAGAUGUGGCGGGUCUUCCGCAUUCCUUCCCUAUUGACACCACACAGCAGGGUAGGUGAGUCAAUGACGGGUAAGAGCGUGCCUCCCCAGCACGACUCGACCUAAGCCAGGCCCUACCCCAUACUGCACGAAAGCCGCUGGAUUACUAGAAUCUGCCCAGAUCUAGAUGUCUCUCCGAGGGGAUCGCACGGAGGGGCAUGAGUGCAUGCCUAUGUGCAUCCAGGUUCCGUCCAGUUCACUCCUGGCCCUGGAAAAAGGACGAGGGUCUCAAGGCCUUGGCGAACCCAGGGACGGCUGACCAGGGUCCAAGCCAAGGGCCUACGGUGGGCCUCAACACAGGGCAUAAGCCUCUGCACUCAAUCCAGGGCGGGCUGCGAUGCGUACAUUCAUUCAAAAUAAAUAAAAUAGGGGGAAAUGUUGGGAGCCGCGGCCGAGCCCGGUCGCCUUACUUGGCGGACGUGAGGCCUGUAAGAAAGAGCAAAGCCUGAGCUAGAUUACCCCUCCCAUCGAGUGAGCCAAGUUGGCGCCUGCUUCCUGCCCCCUGAUUGCCCUGGCGACUUAAACAACCCGCUCUGUAAGAUAGUCUGCCCAGCAACAACUGACGUUAGCCAAUCAGCCCGCAUCGCGCGCUUUGAACUGAUUGGCCACUGUUACCCUAUAAAAGUGAGUGCCUCUCCCACCACGAGAGAGAAGCACAGAGAGAGAUAGAGAAAGUCCACCGGUGAGAAAGGACUGGUGGCAGAGCAGAGGCCUCGCGGGGCCCACGCGGAGACAAAUAAAGACAAGGUUGCACACCG